rnacentral:rRNA from 1 species
CAUUGGUCAAGGUCCGAACGGUAACAGGAAGAAGCUUGCUUCUUCGCUGACUAUCGUAAAGAGGGGUGAGUAAUGUCUGGGAAACUGCCUGAUGGAGGGGGAUAACUACUGGAAACGGUAGCUAAUACCGCAUAACGUCGCAAGACCAAAGAGGGGGACCUUCGGGCCUCUUGCCAUCGGAUGUGCCCAGAUGGGAUUAGCUUGUUGGUGGGGUAACGGCUCACCAAGGCGACGAUCCCUAGCUGGUCUGAGAGGAUGACCAGCCACACUGGAACUGAGACACGGUCCAGACUCCUACGGGAGGCAGCAGUGGGGAAUAUUGCACAAUGGGCGCAAGCCUGAUGCAGCCAUGCCGCGUGUAUGAAGAAGGCCUUCGGGUUGUAAAGUACUUUCAGCGGGGAGGAAGGGAGUAAAGUUAAUACCUUUGCUCAUUGACGUUACCCGCAGAAGAAGCACCGGCUAACUCCGUGCCAGCAGCCGCGGUAAUACGGAGGGUGCAAGCGUUAAUCGGUAU